GAUGAACGCUGGCGGCGUGCCUAACACAUGCAAGUCGAGCGGCAGCGAGGGGUGCUUGCACCCUGUCGGCGAGCGGCGGACGGCUGAGUAACGCGUGGGAACGUGCCCCAAAGUGAGGAAUAACUGCCCGAAAGGGUAGCUAAUACCGCAUAUUAUCUUCGGAUCAAAGGAUUUAUCCGCUUUGGGAGCGGCUCGCGUCGGAUUAGGUAGUUGGUGAGGUAAUGGCUCACCAAGCCGACGAUCCGUAGCUGGUCUGAGAGGAUGACCAGCCAGGCUGGAACUGAGACACGGUCCAGACUCCUACGGGAGGCAGCAGUGAGGAAUCUUCCACAAUGGGCGAAAGCCUGAUGGAGCAACGCCGCGUGCAGGACGAAGGCCUUCGGGUUGUAAACUGCUUUUAUAAGUGAGGAAUAUGACGGUAACUUAUGAAUAAGGAUCGGCUAACUACGUG
rnacentral:rRNA from 1 species